GGAGCUGUCGUCUAGUGGUUUAGGACACGUGCCUGUCACGCACGAGGUCGCGGGUUCGAAUCCCGUCAGCUCCGCCA
rnacentral:tRNA from 2 species